rnacentral:misc_RNA from 1 species
CUGCAGUUUAAUUUAGUGGCCGAAGAUAUAUCAAUAUACUCAAGUUCGAGUCUUGCCCCCCAAAACAAAAAGUUUACCAGUGAUGCAUGAGUGCCAACUUAGAACCCAUCACUUGCUGUAUUAGAUGCAUGUUUGUUUGGACCAAUCAUGAGUUCAAAUCUUAUGGCACCCACAGUAGCUAGGUAGGACAAGAACUGAAAAGAAAGACCAUGUGCCUGAAGCCGUUAAAUUCCACAUCUACCCAUUUGCCUCGCCUUUCAUCUUUAUUAAUCUUGUGGUACCAAUGAACUCUCAAUAAGGAUAUCCAACUAUUUCAUUUCUUUCCUUGAAUUGGUAGAACUUCUGCAAAAUUCUUUAGCUAUGAGAUAAUGCUGGAAAUGGCAAUCAGGGCAAGUGAAAGGAGUUUGACACGGCUUGUCUUCCAAGAGCUUAUGAUCGAUUUCUUGGCCUUUUGCUUGGCCAUGGGGUUUCCUUUUCAAUCUCACGUGGCUCCCAACUUCCUCAUGUGUAAUUACACUCUUUUAGUUACCAAUAUGAAUGUGACAAAUUUCUUUGUCACUUUCUCAAGCAAUCCUUGUCCUACCCUUCUUUCUUAUCCUUUUUAUUUUCCCUUUUAAAAGUCAAAGUACUUGGGAUCCGAUGGAUAA